AAUCGGGCGGCGGCAGGAGCUGGAGCCUGUGUUUGCCCCUGGCCUCCUGCGCUUCCCCCCGCCGGGUGAGGACGGCGAUCCCCGACCUGCUGCAAAAAAGGCUCAAGACCCUGGGGCUGCUCAUGCUGCUGCUUUUGCCUUGUCUGGGCCCAGGGAUGUUGGGGCGCUGCGGGCAGGGAGGAAACCCUUUCUACAAACACUGGCUGGCAGCAGCGCUGCCCUUGAGCGGCUCUGCCCAGCUGCACACAAAUCCUCCAGAGCCCUGCUCUGCCCAGUGCCCCCGCCGUGGGACGCGUCCAGCAGAGAUUCGCAAGCCGAGCAGGAGAGGUGAGAAUGAUGGGCAUAAGGAAACAUAUGCAUCUCCGGUGGCAAUUUGACUUGUGUUUGAAAUAUUAGUACUUACUGUGCUGCUCCUUCCCUGAGAAGAUUGUCGUUGUUAAGCAAUAACCGGACAUCUGGAGAAGAGAGUGUUCAGGGGGUGCAUGAGUGAUGAAUUUUGCAGCUAUACGCACCUACAAGGAAGCAAAAACUAAUUAAACUAAAGACAAAAGAUAACUUACUGAGUUCAUACAUACUGCAACCUACACUGAAGCAAUUCACCAACAAGCCCAACUCUGACAGUGACAGGAAGUGCCAGAUUUAGGGAGAAAUCUAGGCACACAUUGUCAAAAUGGAAACAGUCGGUCUUGUAAGACCAGAUUUUUUUUCAGUGUGACCAAGCAGAAGAAUUCCAAAGGUACUCGAGAAGAAUUGCAAACUUCACGUGGGCACCUGUAAAAAUGUGAGCUGUUCAACCUGCACAGUACCGACCUAUUUAGAGAAUAUGAAUGCUUGCUAGAAGCUCUUCUUGGUGAUGUUCUUAAACAAUGUUUUUUCCUGAUCCUUGCUAGUAAUCAGAAACCUAAAUGCCAAGGUAUAGAAAGAGUAAGAAACUGCUGCAGUGAAAGUGACACUGUAAUGAGGUGGUAACCUACAGCACCACCACACAGCGAAGGAGCGUCUGACACACCGUGAGACACCGCCAUGCCCUGCGAUGCAACUUGCUUGUUGCUGAUGAGCGGCUGGAGGAGGUGCCACUGCUUCACAGCAAACAGCGUGUGAAGGAUGAGAGGUUGAUCCCUCUAGAAAUGGAGCAGCAAAUCAAUUACAUCAACUGCCACGGACUGCUUCCAGAGUUAAUUAUGCCUCACGGACUUUGAAAAGCCACUGACGUGCUCAGAGUGCAGAAGGGGUAUGGAGACACAAAGUAAAAAGCUGGGAACUGACAGAGAUGAGGGAGGUGAUGGAAAAUGCCAACGUGAACCAGGGAAGUCAGACAGAGCCUCCAAAUGAAACCAUCCGAACUUCAGCAGGUGACCUCCCCCCACCCCCUGAUCCUCUACUGCUGCCCUGGUCACUUGUAACCCUGUGCAGUAGCCGCUGCCUGUGCCGUGCCGGGUUACUCCUCUUAUCUUGUAGUAUUUUACUGGAAACUGUACUGUAGCCCAGACACAAAGUGUCGCAGCAGUGGAAGAACUAAGGCAUCUGGAACUGUGAGUGGUACCAGAAACAGCUGAAAAGGCCAACUGUAAGGGAAGUACCCAAAUGUCUGCAAACUUUAAAGCCGGAAAAGAAAAACCCCUUCUCUUCUAAAAAAUCUCGCUUAAGAUUAUCUGUGCUAAACAUGGAGUUGCUUUAAAUUGAAUUGAGGUUGCCUGAGCUGGGACAUGAAGUAGAAUGUAGGCUCUGAUUUCAAGCAAAAUCCCUUCUACUCUGCCAAACGAAGUACUUGGGUGCAUGCAGCUCUGAAGAGCCUCUUGUUGAAGGACAAAUCUUCCCCGCAAGUGCUUUGAAAGAACCGGAGACUUCAGGUGAACACAGCUGGAGGGGGAGAAAAAUGCCUCAUGACCCCAGGUUCUUGCACCACUGGCUCUCCUUCCCAGACUGAACGGCUAGGCUAGGCGUAGCCUAACUGCAGGGACCCCAGUUCUCCUUCCAGCUCUGUUAGGGACUUGCUAGAACACCAUGGGCAAUUUACUGCGUUUCCUUCGCUCUCAAACCUGCACCACCAUAAAGCCCAACAUGAUAAAGCCUUACUUUUGUUUUAAUUUUCACAUCAAAUGUAACAAUGCCUUUGAUUUUAGGAGUUCAAAUGAAAUUCAACCAAAUGACAGAGUAAAAUAUUUUAUACAGGAUUGGAUAGAUUUCAGUAACAUGCUAAAGACUGUAUGAAUUCUGUUCUGGAAUACUCACUUCAAACAAUGCUCAUGUGAUCUAAAAUAUUAACUAAAGGACGAAUUGCACCUUUAAAGCUCUAUCUGCUUGUUUCACAAUGGCUGACUGUAAUGAAGCCGAAAUUGGCAAUUUAAGGGAGAAAUGAGAGCAGGCUCCAAGCUCCAGGAUCCUUGGAGAUCUAUGAGCCUUAAUGCUCCGCUUCAGAACAUUAAAGAACAAAGCAAAAAGCUAUGUAUAAUAUUUUUCUGACAUAAGGAGGAGUAGCGGUGGAUUUGUUAAGUACCGUUUGUAGGUAACUGGUGCCUACAGGCUUGCAGAAAAGGCUACGUGUUAAUUUGCUACGUGAAACUUGGUGCUGCUUGUGAGACUGUCCCUCUUCCACAUUCCUACGCAAGAGGAACAGUCUGCUCGUCUCUCCAUUCCCUAAAAUAAAUAUUGUUCCCUUUGCUUUCGCUUAGUCCCUUCCACACGGUAUCCUUUGUAGGAUCUACAUCAAAGUUACGGUCAGCAGCUGGGGCAAGCAGAAAAGGGGAAAACACGCUCUGAAGGUGUUUGGGAACCGGACAGGUUUCACGGCGCCUUUUACAGACGCCGCUAACUUUGCUGACCUGGGAAAAGAAAGGCGAGGAGCAAAAAGCCCAUUUUCACGCGCAAAGACGCGCCGAGGCACCUCGGCUGCACCCGGGCAAUAAGGAAACCGAAGCGCGAAGCCUU